rnacentral:rRNA from 1 species
GAGGAAUAUUGGUCAAUGGACGAGAGUCUGAACCAGCCAAGUAGCGUGAAGGAUGAAGGUUCUAUGGAUUGUAAACUUCUUUUAUACGGGAAUAAACGAAUCCACGCGUGGAUUUUUGCAUGUACCGUAUGAAUAAGGAUCGGCUAACUCCGUGCCAGCAGCCGCGGUAAUACGGAGGAUCCGAGCGUUAUCCGGAUUUAUUGGGUUUAAAGGGAGCGUAGAUGGGUUGUUAAGUCAGUUGUGAAAGUUUGCGGCUCAACCGUAAAAUUGCAAUUGAUACUGGCAGUCUUGAGUACAGUUGAGGUAGGCGGAAUUCGUGGUGUAGCGGUGAAAUGCUUAGAUAUCACGAAGAACUCCGAUUGCGAAGGCAGCUUACUAACCUGUAACUGACAUUGAUGCUCGAAAAUGUGGGUAUCAAACAGGAUUAGAUACCCUGGUAGUCCACACGGUAAACGAUGAAUACUCGCUGUAGGCGAUAUACAGUCUGCGGCCAAGCGAAAGCAUUAAGUAUUCCACCUGGGGAGUACGCCGGCAACGGUGAAACUCAAAGGAAUUGACGGGGGCCCGCACAAGCGGAGGAACAUGUGGUUUAAUUCGAUGAUACGCGAGGAACCUUACCCGGGCUUAAAUUGCAACCGAAUAUGGCGGAAACGCUAUAGCUAGCAAUAGCGGUUGUGAAGGUGCUGCAUGGUUGUCGUCAGCUCGUGCCGUGAGGUGUCGGCUUAAGUGCCAUAACGAGCGCAACCCUUGCCGAUAGUUACUAACAGGUUAUGCUGAGGACUCUGUCGGGACUGCCAUCGUAAGAUGUGAGGAAGGUGGGGAUGACGUCAAAUCAGCACGGCCCUUACGUCCGGGGCUACACACGUGUUACAAUGGGGGGUACAGAGGGCUGCUACCACGCAAGUGGAUGCCAAUCCCAAAAACCUCUCUCAGUUCGGAUUGAAGUCUGCAACCCGACUUCAUGAAGCUGGAUUCGCUAGUAAUCGCGCAUCAGCCACGGCGCGGUGAAUACGUUCCCG